AAUCAACGCUGGCGGCGUGCCUCAGACAUGCAAGUCGAACGAUUAAGACUCUCUUCGGAGAGUGCAUAAAGUGGCGCACGGGUGAGUAACACGUAAGUAAUCUACCCUCGAGUGGGGAAUAACGUCCGGAAACGGACGCUAAUACCGCAUAAUGCAGCGGCACCGCAAGGUGACAGUUGUUAAAGAUUUAUCGCUUGAGGAGGAGCUUGCGGCAGAUUAGCAGUUGGUAAGGUAAUGGCUUACCAAGGCUACGAUCUGUAACCGGUCUAAGAGGACGGUCGGUCACACUGACACUGAAUAACGGGUCAGACUCCUACGGGAGGCAGCAGUCGGGAAUUUUGGGCAAUGGGCGAAAGCCUGACCCAGCAACGCCGCGUGAAGGAUGAAGUAUUUCGGUAUGUAAACUUCGAAAGAAUGGGAAGAAUUAAUGACGGUACCAUUUAUAAGGUCCGGCUAACUACGUGCCAGCCGCCGCAGU
rnacentral:rRNA from 1 species